UACGUAGGGUGCGAGCGUUGUCCGGAAUUACUGGGCGUAAAGGGCUCGUAGGCGGUCUGUUGCGUCGGGAGUGAAAACUUACAGCUUAACUGUGAGCGUGCUUCCGAUACGGGCAGACUAGAGGUAGGCAGGGGAGAGCGGAACUCCUGGUGUAGCGGUGGAAUGCGCAGAUAUCAGGAAGAACACCGGUGGCGAAGGCGGCUCUCUGGGCCUUACCUGACGCUGAGGAGCGAAAGCGUGGGGAGCGAACAGG
rnacentral:rRNA from 1 species